rnacentral:rRNA from 1 species
GACGAACGCUGGCGGCGUGCUUAACACAUGCAAGUCGAACGGAAAGGCCCUGCUUUUGUGGGGUGCUCGAGUGGCGAACGGGUGAGUAACACGUGAGUAACCUGCCCUUGGCUUUGGGAUAACUUCAGGAAACUGGGGCUAAUACCGGAUAGGGGCUCCUGCUGCAUGGUGGGGGUUGGAAAGUUUCGGCGGUUGGGGAUGGACUCGCGGCUUAUCAGCUUGUUGGUGGGGUAGUGGCUUACCAAGGCUUUGACGGGUAGCCGGCCUGAGAGGGUGACCGGCCACAUUGGGACUGAGAUACGGCCCAGACUCCUACGGGAGGCAGCAGUGGGGAAUAUUGCACAAUGGGCGGAAGCCUGAUGCAGCAACGCCGCGUGCGGGAUGACGGCCUUCGGGUUGUAAACCGCUUUCGCCUGUGACGAAGCGUGAGUGACGGUAAUGGGUAAAGAAGCACCGGCUAACUACGUG